UACAGAGGGGGCUAGCGUUAUUCGGAAUUAUUGGGCGUAAAGGGCGCGUAGGCGGCCAUGCGUGUCUUCCGUGAAAUCCCUCGGCUUAACUGAGGACGUGCGGAAGAAACUGCAAGGGCUCGAGUCCGGGAGAGGGGGGUGGAAUUCCCAGUGUAGCGGUGAAAUGCGUAGAUAUUGGGAGGAACACCGGUGGCGAAGGCGGCCCCCUGGACCGGUACUGACGCUGAGGCGCGAAAGCGUGGGUAGCAAACGGG
rnacentral:rRNA from 1 species